UACGUAGGGUGCGAGCGUUGCCCGGAUUUAUUGGGCGUAAAGGGCGCGUAGGCGGCUCGGCACGUCCGUUGUGAAAUCGCCCGGCUCAACUGGGCGGGGUCAGCGGAUACGGUCGAGCUUGAGCAAGCUAGGGGGUAAUGGAAUUCCCGGUGUAGUGGUGGAAUGCGUAGAUAUCGGGAGGAACACCAGUGGCGAAGGCGGGUUGCUGGGCUGACACUGACGCUGAUGCGCGAAAGCCAGGGGAGCGAACGGG
rnacentral:rRNA from 1 species